ACCAAAAAACAUGUUUCAAGCUAACAUGGAUCAGUCUCGGCGCCUCCAGCGCCAGAAAUACCGCAGGGCUCGCCUCCCUCCUAUCCUCAUCCUUUGGUAUUCUGAAGCACACCUCCAUUAUGCAGAUUCCUGCUUCUUCGGUUCAACGCUCCAUCUCUGGUUUUCUUGACUACCCAACCACAUCAGAUCAGGUAGUAUUGAAAUCUGGGGUCUCUAGCAAGGACUUCAACAACCAAAACCCUCAAACACUAAGCUAUUUGCUUUUUCCUCUUCUCGGAUGAUGUUCUUUAUUUGUUGCGGAGGAUCACGUGUCCACGAUCGAUUAAGUCCUUCUCCAUCUGCCAAUUUAGCCACUAUUUUGUGCCAUAAUUAAUGCCUCUCUGAAAGCAUAGGCCUCGGCUGACAAACUGGAAUUGGCUAUGAUUUUUGUUGCUGAACUAGUUAUCACUGACCCCUUCCAAUCCCUUACAACAGCUGCGGUUACUGCUCUUCCCGUCUGGCUGCAAAAAAGAUGCAUCAAUGUUAAUUUUCAACCAAUCUUUGGGAGGCGAUGAUAAACCACUAUUUAUGAUUCAUAUUGUGUUUAAUUGUGUGGUUUUAUCAAGUCUUUGCCCACUUAUUCAUAUGAUUUGCAUGUAACUACAACUCCUUCCUAAAAAUACUCUAUGAUUGAAAAUAUGCUUCUUUGGCUUUUAUUUUCUUUUAUUUAAUCCUCUCUUAUUACUAUUAGAUGCCUUGAUAUGUGUGUUAAGUGAUUUCAGGAAUUACAGGGCAGGAAUGGCUUAAAGGAUGGAAAGGAAGCAUGCAAAAAAUGGAAGGAACACAAAGAAUUAAGGAGAUAACCAGCGAGAAGUCACGCGUUCGCAUGGCUGACGCGACCGCGCGAAAUGGAAGAAACAACAGUGACGCGCUCGCGUGCCUGACGCAACCGCGCGGAUUGGAAGCUGCAUGAACGACGCGAAUGCGUGGACGACGCGCACGCGUGGUACGAGAAACACCGAGUGACGCGAACGCGUGGACGACGUGGCCGCGUGACGUGCGCGAUCUGUAGAAUUUCAGAAGUCGCUGGCAGAGUUUCUGGGCCGGAUUUCAACCCAGUUUUCGGCCCAGAAACACAGAUUAGAGCCAGAGAACAUGCAGAGACAGAGGAGAACAUUUAUUCCGCAUAAUUUUUAGUUUUUAGAUAUGAAUUUACUCCUCCCCUAGGUUUACUCACUUGAACAUUCAUAAUUAGGAUUUUGAAGAUUUGGCUUUAGCUUUUGAGAAGAGUCUACCUCCGGUACUAGUCAUUAUAUUCUGUUAUUUACUUUCCAUUUAUUCUUCCAUAUUCUUAAUGCCCUUAGAAUUGACAUUGGAUUAUUUUCACAAGUUAAUAAUAUAGACUAUUUUCAUUUUCAA